AACGAACGCUGGCGGCAUGCCUAACACAUGCAAGUCGAACGAGACCUUCGGGUCUAGUGGCGCACGGGUGUGUAACGCGUGGGAACCUGCCCUUAGGUUCGGAAUAACUCCCCGAAAGGGGUGCUAAUACCGGAUAAUGUCUUCGGACCAAAGAUUUAUCGCCUUUGGAUGGGCCCGCGUUGGAUUAGCUAGUUGGUAGGGUAAAAGCCUACCAAGGCGACGAUCCAUAGCUGGUCUGAGAGGAUGAUCAGCCACACUGGGACUGAGACACGGCCCAGACUCCUACGGGAGGCAGCAGUGGGGAAUAUUGGACAAUGGGCGAAAGCCUGAUCCAGCAAUGCCGCGUGAGUGAUGAAGGACUUAGGGUUGUAAAGCUCUUUUACCCGGGAUGAUAAUGACAGUACCGGGAGAAUAAGCUCCGGCUAACUCCGUG
rnacentral:rRNA from 1 species